GUGAACCAGCGGAGGGAUCAUUACCGAGUUUACAACUCCCAAACCCCUGUGAACAUACCUUAUGUUGCCUCGGCGGAUCAGCCCGCGCCCCGUAAAAAGGGACGGCCCGCCGCAGGAACCUUAAACUCUGUUUUUAGUGGAACUUCUGAGUAUAAAAAACAAAUAAAUCAAAACUUUCAACAACGGAUCUCUUGGUUCUGGCAUCGAUGAAGAACGCAGCAAAAUGCGAUAAGUAAUGUGAAUUGCAGAAUUCAGUGAAUCAUCGAAUCUUUGAACGCACAUUGCGCCCGCCAGUAUUCUGGCGGGCAUGCCUGUUCGAGCGUCAUUUCAACCCUCAAGCCCAGCUUGGUGUUGGGAGCUGCAGUCCUGCUGCACUCCCCAAAUACAUUGGCGGUCACGUCGAGCUUCCAUAGCGUAGUAAUUUACAUAUCGUUACUGGUAAUCGUCGCGGCCACGCCGUUAAACCCCAACUUCUGAAUGUUGACCUCGGAUCAGGUAGGAAUACCCGCUGAACUUAAGCAUAUC
rnacentral:rRNA from 1 species